rnacentral:rRNA from 1 species
CAUUAACGAACAGAAAGGACUGUCGCAUUCCCCUAUGCACGUCCUUUCAUCUUCUCUACAUACACCUGUGCACCCUUUGUAGGCUCUCGAAAGAGUGGUCUACGUUCUAAACGUACCCUAUGUACUACUAUACACAUUUCAAAGGCCAGAAUGUCGAAUCAAUUACAACUUUCAGCAAUGGAUCUCUUGGCUCUCGCAUCGAUGAAGAACGCAGCGAAUCGCGAUAAGUAAUGUGAAUUGCAGAUUUCCAGUGAAUCAUCGAAUCUUUGAACGCACUUUGCGCUCCUUGGUACUCCGAGGAGCAUGCCUGUUUGAGUGUCAUUUUAUUCUCAACCAUGUCUUGAUUCAUUUCGAGCCAUGGCUUGGACUUGGGAGUUGUCGGCCCUCACGGGUCGACUCUCCUCAAAUGCAUUAGCGAAUGGACCAUCUCAGUGGGUCUGGCGGGCAAACAUAGCCUUUCGACGUGAUAACAUCGUAUAUCGGAGUCGAGGCGAAGCGCGUCGGGUGUAAGACAUGGUUUCUCUUCGCUUCCAAUCCCCAACCUGCUUAGUUAGUACUCGGUCGAGAGACCGCCGAACGCUCUCGCAGACCACUUUUGACCACUUUUGACCU